CCAAGCUCCGCCCCAACAGUGCAAAAACAGCCCGAUGACUCAGACACAGAGAAGAUCGAGUCCGACAUCGCAUACUGGAUUGCAGUUUUCACAACGGCAAGGAAGCCAUUACUGAAAAUGUGUGGUAGCUUCAGAAACCUUCGAUGUCGCAACUCUGAUUGUUGCGGGGUCGAAGUUGGAGGCAACAGAGGGGCAGAAUGUGACAAUAUCCUUCGACAUAAAAGAAGUGGAGAAAACAACCGAAGUGAGGAUUACCUUUAAGGGAGUCAACGAGGAACAGCCCAGUGUUAUUGCUCGGCUCCCGUGGAUCUUUAAUGAUAAACCUCGACCUGGAGUUUCACUGGUGGUUGAGGAAGGACGCGUGAAUGUAACCAUUCAACAUGUCAGCAUCUCCAGAGAUGCAGGACUCUAUACAGCAGAAGCCUUAAUUGAUAAGAGGCCAACAGCGAGUGCUACGCUUGUGGUCCACUGCAAACCACAGUCUUCCUCCAGUCCAGCGCCACCGCACGCCUCUAGUCCAGCGCCACCGCACACCUCCACCCCAAAACCUCCCAGCUCCUCUGAGCUCCAGUGGCUGUAUGUUGUAAUUCCAGUCGUCGUUAUCAUCAUCAUCAUCAUCAUCAUCAUCAUCA